rnacentral:lncRNA from 1 species
CCCUACUCCUGUCCGGGGAUGAAUCCGCCGAGUGUAUUAUUGAUUGUAUGAUUUGGAGAAAAUCAACAUAUGCCCCUAGAGGCACCCGGACCCCCCUUAUAUAUGGGAAGGAGUCCGUGUUACAAAAGAUAAUCCAUAUCCCUAACGGAAUAUGCAGAUACAGAUAAAAUACAGUCGUAACCGACUAAGUCUCAAGGUAUUUCCUUGAUGUACAAGUUGAGAAACAAACCCGAGACACAAAUAAGAUAUUCUAUCUAUAUUUGGUAUCCUGUACUCAGCCCAAAUACCAUUGCCGUGUAGAUAUGGGAUAACCAUAAUCUCCACACUGUGUUUUUUCUAUUCCUCCGUUUUUUGAACCCUGCGAUUUAAAGAGAUCCUAAGAUGUCACAUCUGUGCAUACAAUAUUACAAAACGAUCCAGACCCACAAACAUCGGAUUGGAUAGGGUCCAUAAGGGGAGGGCUAAUGGCCGGGUGAUCGCUCGCCCAUGGCAAUCGGGCACCCCCCCCCCUCCCUCCCCUAACACGCACGUGCCUCCCCGUUGCUCCCUUCCUACUGCACCAUGAAUUUCAAACCAUUAAAAAAGAACAAGUUAGAAAAGAAUAAAAUAUAAUAUAAAAAUCUAGAAUCCUUAAAAAUAUAUUCAUGUGACUUUAUACUUAUAAAUAUAUACACAGUAAACUUCGUAUGUAAACAAAUUAUGUAUAGAAAUACUCUAUAUAAAAAUAUUUGAACCCAAAUUCGAAUUUGAGUCGCGUAUAUAAACUUUGACCAAUAAAUUUUAGGUGUAUAAACUUCAGAUGUAUAACUUUAGGUAUAUAAACUUAACUAAAAAGAAAAACUAUAUGGUGCCAAAAAGAAAAGGUAAGUGGUGAAAAAAGAACUAUCGUCUGGCUCGAUUGAUUGCUAAUUAGCGAUCUCGGGUCCAUCCACCGAACGGUCCGACACAUAGAUGAAUUGUUCCGGAACGAUUCUGUAAUAUCUUUGUCGGGUGAUUUUUUGUUUGGUAUUUGACGUUUUUCUGUUCGUUGGAUUGCACUAUGAUUCGUGCUGGAACAGUGCGGGAUGAGGAUGAGGCCCGUGUUUGGACAUGCCUCGUGGUAGUCAACGUGACUCGAUCUCUGUGCGAAAUUUUUGAUUUUGCGCGCCAUGUAUGUAGAGUGAUUUUUUUCUAUUAUAUUUGAUGUUUUCUUAGCUGUAGGAUCAUACGUCAAGAUUAGUGCAAAAAAUUACAGUCCUAUAUAACUAAAAUCGUUAAUAAAUUCAGCUGAUAUGAUAUGCAAGUGUACUGUAAUUUUGGUAAAAAUAUUAUGUAUGUAAAUAUGUAUUUGUUAUUUCCUUUAAAAUAUAAAAUUACAGUCCUAUAUAACUAAAAUUAUAUUUAUUUGUAGGUUUAGUUGAUAUAACAUGUAAGUGUACUUUUAGUAGAUGGGUUGGUGAUUAUUUUUUCAAUGUAAAGAUCUAACAAAUAAAAUAUAUGCAAUAUAUAUAAUUAAUAUAUGUUGAUACAUGUGCACUCUUCUAAUCAAGUGAUCAAAUGAGCCUAAUUCAACUAUUUAAAGUCAAUAUGAUUUGGAUCCAAAAAUAUGUCGCGCGAUAUAUAGCUAGUACCGCUGAACCUAUCUUAUUAGUCAAAACAUUUUCAACGAUGUGGAUGAGAAAAGGGCAGCAAUUUGUUACUGAUGCGGUGAUGCCGAUAUGAUAUUUGUCCAUCUUAAUUGCUUAUAAGCUGUAUAUCUAGAAUCAUGUGACACCAUCGUUUCGCUUAUUAACCGAAUAAGCAAAACAACUUAUUUGCAAACAGAAAAUAUUUUGUAAAUAAAACUUUUAGGGAUAAUUGCUCAUUUAACCCUAUUUUAGAAUCUAACUACCAAUAAAUUUCUAGUUUGCUUAUUUAACCAUGCUUUUAAAAAAUAAAGUUACCGUUUAUCCCUAUUUUCACAACGAUGUUAGGGUUUCGUUUAGAAAAAGAAAAAAAUUGUAUUAUUUUCAGAUUGACCAAAAUAACCUUAAGAACUCAACCCUAUCCAUUCACUUCCAACCUCAUCCACUCAUUCCUUAUCUCUUUCAGGUGGCACGCAGGGGAGGGAGGGAGCGGUGGUGGUGGCGGCGGCGCGGGUAGAGAGGGAGCGGCGGCGGUGCACCGAGGAAGGGAGCAGCGGCGCUAGGUGUUGCGCGGAGGGCGGAACGGUGGCGGUGGCUGCUCACUGCCGCUGGGCACGGAGGGGGGCGCAUGGAGCAGGAGCUCGGCGGCGCAGGUCGAAGAGGGUGGUGCAGCUCGCCGCUGGGCGCGGCACAGCGCAGGAGCUCGACGGCAUGGGAACUCGCCAUCGCUCGGUGCAAAGGGAGGGGCAUGGCCAGCGAUGCGGUGAGGAGGCGCAUGGAGAGAAGACCUCGACGACUCGACGCAAAGCACUUGGGCGCUGCUCACGGCGCAAGAAAGGGGGUGGCGUCCUCCUUCUCCC